UGGGGAAUAUUGCACAAUGGGCGAAAGCCUGAUGCAGCAACGCCGCGUGAGUGAUGAAGGUCUUCGGAUUGUAAAGCUCUGUCUUUUGGGACGUAAUGACGGUACCAAAGGAGGAAGCCACGGCUAACUACGUGCCAGCAGCCGCGGUAAUACGUAGGUGGCGAGCGUUGUCCGGAUUUACUGGGCGUAAAGGGUGCGUAGGCGGAUGUUUAAGUGAGAUGUGAAAUACCCGGGCUUAACUUGGGUGCUGCAUUUCAAACUGGAUAUCUAGAGUGCAGGAGAGGAGAAUGGAAUUCCUAGUGUAGCGUGAAAUGCGUAGAGAUUAGGAAGGACACCAGUGGCGAAGGCGAUUCUCUGGACUGUAACUGACGCUGAGGCACGAAAGCGUGGGUAGCAAACAGGAUUAGAUACCCUGGUAGUCCACGCCGUAAACGAUGAGUACUAGGUGUAGGAGGUAUCGACCCCUUCUGUGCCGCAGUAAACACAUUAAGUACUCCGCCUGGGAAGUACGAU
rnacentral:rRNA from 1 species